rnacentral:siRNA from 1 species
UGCCUUAACUGACUUAAUCAACAC